GAAGGUUAGAGCUCAGUGGUAGAGCGCAUGCUUAGCGUGCACGAGGUCCUGGGUUCAAUCCCCAGUACUUCCA
rnacentral:tRNA from 1 species